GCAUUGGUGGUGAGUAUUCCCGCCUGUCACGCGGGAGACCUGGGUUCGAUCCCCGGCAAAAGCG
rnacentral:tRNA from 1 species